UACGUAGGUGGCAAGCGUUGUCCGGAUUUAUUGGGUUUAAAGGGUGCGUAGGCGGUUUUUUAAGUCAGUGGUGAAAUACAGCCGCUCAACGGUUGAGGUGCCAUUGAUACUGGGGAACUUGAGUACAGACGAGGUAGGCGGAAUUGACGGUGUAGCGGUGAAAUGCAUAGAUAUCGUCAAGAACACCGAUAGCGAAGGCAGCUUACUAGACUGUAACUGACGCUGAUGCACGAAAGUGUGGGGAUCAAACAGG
rnacentral:rRNA from 1 species